rnacentral:lncRNA from 1 species
CCAAAUAUGUCUACAGUGACCUCCCCCGGGAGCCAGUUCCUCGCCCAGUAUCUCCUACAGGCUCAGUCAGAUCAUCCUUAUCAGUUGAAGGAAAAUCUAAAGCUGAGCUCCAGGAAAUUGCACGCCAGUUGAUCAUCCAGGCCUCUCAGAUGGAUGAUGAUGAGGACAAUGAUUCUCCCUCAUCGUCUAGUUGCCAGCCUUUGCAGAGUCCUACCAAGACAAAACCUUGGUAUGAUGACAGCCAGGAUCCCUACGAUGCCUAUGAUCUAGGGGAAU